rnacentral:rRNA from 1 species
AGGCCUAACACAUGCAAGUCGAACGGUAGCACAGAGAGCUUGCUCUCGGGUGACGAGUGGCGGACGGGUGAGUAAUGUCUGGGAAACUGCCUGAUGGAGGGGGAUAACUACUGGAAACGGUAGCUAAUACCGCAUAACGUCGCAAGACCAAAGAGGGGGACCUUCGGGCCUCUUGCCAUCAGAUGUGCCCAGAUGGGAUUAGCUAGUAGGUGGGGUAACGGCUCACCUAGGCGACGAUCCCUAGCUGGUCUGAGAGGAUGACCAGCCACACUGGAACUGAGACACGGUCCAGACUCCUACGGGAGGCAGCAGUGGGGAAUAUUGCACAAUGGGCGCAAGCCUGAUGCAGCCAUGCCGCGUGUAUGAAGAAGGCCUUCGGGUUGUAAAGUACUUUCAGCGGGGAGGAAGGUGUUGUGGUUAAUAACCGCAGCAAUUGACGUUACCCGCAGAAGAAGCACCGGCUAACUCCGUGCCAGCAGCCGCGGUAAUACGGAGGGUGCAAGCGUUAAUCGGAAUUACUGGGCGUAAAGCGCACGCAGGCGGUCUGUCAAGUCGGAUGUGAAAUCCCCGGGCUCAACCUGGGAACUGCAUUCGAAACUGGCAGGCUAGAGUCUUGUAGAGGGGGGUAGAAUUCCAGGUGUAGCGGUGAAAUGCGUAGAGAUCUGGAGGAAUACCGGUGGCGAAGGCGGCCCCCUGGACAAAGACUGACGCUCA